GCUUAUCCAAAAACAAAUUCCAGCAUAUUCAUUUGCUAGACACUACUAGCUUCUAUGGUCAAAUGAAACAAAAACCAAAACAACAAAAAAAAGGGCUUUUUAACAGCAAACACUCAAGAUGGCUUUGGUGCACACGGAUAAAAAAGUAUCCCAUGUAUACAAUGAAAUCUACUGUUGUGGGCCUAUUUUUCUGCCAGAGAUCCUGGACCUCUACAGAUGAAAACUUAACUGUCUGUCUAUUCUACACUCUAAAAAAAAGAUGGUUCUUUAAAGAUUCUUUACAUGGAGUAACAGUUAUAUUUAGAACCAUAGCUUCCUGAAGAACCCCUUUAUGCUGAAAUGGUUUUUGCUACUUUUGGCCUUGAACAUAAUUGUUUUUACAUAAACAAAUGGACACACUGUAAUUCUAAACUCAGUUGUGUAUUUCAGAUGCAUCACAUCCCACAACCUCAUCAUCUGCAGAUAAACGGUCACUCAGUCACACCAUAAUGAUGGACUUAAAGGCUACACUUAUAUGGCUCAAUACUGCUUUUCUGGAGCGCAGACUGUCAACAGUUUAACAGAAUAUGCAAGCGUGACCAGCCCUGUUCAGUUAAAGAUACGCAUCUCCUCUUCACCACCAAAUGCUGUCACAUCCUACAACCUCGUCAUCUGCAGAGAGAAACUGCCAUUCAAUCACACCAAAAUAUACAUAAUGAUGGACUUUCAGGCAUCAUAGAGGAUUAUGAAAAUACAGUAUUU